UAAAUAAUUAUGAUCAAGAAAAGUCAAGAGCGGAAAAGGCUAAUGAAUGAAACCCCAAAAAGCUAGCGUAGUGUCAAGGAGGAUUAGUCACUUUAAAUACCAUUGAGUAUCAUACCAUCCCCUAGACUACAUUAUAAGCCUAAGAGAAGUCCUAUAGUGAUCCUAACUGACCUAUCUGAAGAUCUGGGUAAUGAAAAUAAGGAAAAGCCUAUGGUACUUGGCAUUCAC
rnacentral:lncRNA from 1 species